rnacentral:misc_RNA from 1 species
GAUGAAGAACGUAUCGAAAUGCGAUAAGUAAUGUGAAUUGCAGAAUUCAGUGAAUCAUCGAAUCUUUGAACGCACAUUGCGCCCAUUAGUAUUCUAGUGGGCAUGCCUGUUCGAGCGUCAUUUCAACCCUUAAGCCUAGCUUAGUAUUGGGAAUCGACUUUACUGUCGUUCCUCAAAUUCAACGGCGGAUUUAUAGCAAUCUCUGAACGUAGUAAUUUUUUUUCUCGUUUUUGAAAUACUAUAAACCUCAGCCGCUAAACCCCCAAUUUCUUAUGGUUGACCUCGGAUCAGGUAGGAAUACCCGCUGAACUUAAGCAUAUCAAUAAGCGGGGA